rnacentral:lncRNA from 1 species
GUUGAUUUUGGCUAGAAAAUUUGCUCGAAGAACUUGUGUUCAAGCUGCUCGAAGAACCCUAAUUUGAUCCGCCAUUUUGUUAAUUUCAUCUUUAAUAGGUAAUGAUUAUUGAUGAAAUUUAAGGGUUUUGAAUCAUAAUCGAAUGGUGUGUAUGUGUGGGCAUCCAUGAACAAGGAUGGGCUAGGCUCUUGAGGAGUUAUUAGGGCAGGGGUUUAGGGCCCCUAGGGAGUUCUUAGGGCAGUUUUUCUUUUUGGAGCUUGAAAUAAAGGAAAAUAAAAAAUAAAAGAUCAUAACACAUUAUAUGAAAAAAUAUCAAAC